GCGGCGGGGGUAGUGUCGGAGAAGUGGGGGAGGGAGGGGGUUUCUCCCGGAGAAUCGAGGCGGGGUUCCCUCCCCCGAUCCGCAAAGCUCCUCGGAAGCCAGCGAGCGAGCGAGCGAGCGAUGGGGCGCGCGAGCCGGCGUCUUGCAGCAGGCAGGCCCGCCCGCCUCCCCCGCUCGCGGCCGCGCAGCCCCGGGCCAGGCGCUCCCGGCUACAGCAUCGCCGAGGUGCUGAAACAGACAGCUCUCCCUGCCCGGGCGCUUCCACCUACUGCAUCGCCGUGGUGCUGAACUGGACAGCUCCCCGCGGCCGGGCGCUCUCACCUACAGCAUCGCCGCGGUGCUGGACUGGACAGCUCUCGGAGCAGGAGCGCCCACCUACUGCGUCGCCGUGGUGCUGAACUGGACAGCUCCCCACUCUGUGCGCUCCCUGCGCUCUGUAGCCAGCCAGGAGUGGGGCCCGGGCCACGGGGCCUCUGUCCUCCGGGGACGGGCCAGGCCGGGGGCCGAGCGCAGGGCUGCCUGGCCUUCCUGACUCCUGUUCCACAGUUCCGGAAUGAGUGCUGUCCGGGGCCUCCUGGAGCUGAGAGGAAGGCGUAGCUGGCACUCUCUCUCUCUCUCUCUCUCUCUCUCUCUCUCUCUCUCUCUCUCUCUUCCUUUCUCUCCUCUUCCCUCCCCCCUCGGUGUUUCUUCCAGAUCAGCCUCCUUCUCAUUCCAUCGCUACGUGCCCAGAGCUUCAAAUACAGCCCUCCCAUCACAGUCAGACUGCCACAAAACUUCAAUCAGCUGCUUCUCCGCCUGCAAGAGAGCCUGGAAGGGGGUGUUUGCACAGCUUUAUCUGUGACUCCCUCCCUGUAGCUUUCUGGGAAAUUCUACAUCUUGCUUCCGCCAGUAGACAUUUUGGAAUGGGUUAUUCACGUGAAAUGAUGAGGAAAAGGUGGCUGGUAACUGGAGCUUGGGCUAUGAUGUUCAUCUCAAGGCUAAGAAUGUUUUCAGGAAAAGUGGGGAGACACAGAAAGACCGGAUUCCUCCAGAGCCAGCCCCGGGUGAUUGCACCUGCAUGUUGAUGUGGUUUCAGCUAUUUACACUUGUGAGGACUUUAUCCCUUUCCUAAGUCAUGCCAGGACCCUUGAGGACUAUUGGACUAGCUCAUGGAUGCUGGCAACACAUUCACAACUCCCAAGUUCCUAGCUCCAGGCUUCCCUGCCUGUGGCACAUAGAUUGGCGCCUCGAGCAUCUUCCCCUUGCUCUAGUGGCUGGAAGACCCUGUGACUCCACUGCGUGAUCCCAAACUCCUGGGCUAAUGCAGAGCCUGUAAGCUCCAGGUGGACCAAAAACACCCGUCUUCACUGGCUCAGUCUAUGACUCCCACGUCACUGAGGGAGAGAGCCCCAGACUCAUAGUGGUCUCUCGGGGCCUCCGGCCUUGGACUUCUUGCACGCUGAGGUUCUGCUUGGUGCCCACUGUGCCAUCGGACUGUGAAGCUGCCAGAGGGGAGAGGCAGCGCUCCUGCCUGUGUGCUGAGCUGGCCCAGACAGUGUUGUUAAGUAGUACAAGUGGGACAAGAGC